GUUUGAUCCUGGCUCAGGACGAACGCUGGCGGCGCGCCUAACACAUGCAAGUCGAACGAGCGAGAGAUAGCUUGCUUUCUCGAGCGAGUGGCGAACGGGUGAGUAACGCGUGAGGAACCUGCCUCAAAGAGGGGGACAACAGUUGGAAACGACUGCUAAUACCGCAUAAGCCCACGACCCGGCAUCGGGUAGAGGGAAAAGGAGCAAUCCGCUUUGAGAUGGCCUCGCGUCCGAUUAACUAGUUGGUGAGGUAACGGCCCACCAAGGCGACGAUCGGUAGCCGGACUGAGAGGUUGAACGGCCACAUUGGGACUGAGACACGGCCCAGACUCCUACGGGAGGCAGCAGUGGGGAAUAUUGCACAAUGGGGGAAACCCUGAUGCAGCGACGCCGCGUGGAGGAAGAAGGUCUUCGGAUUGUAAACUCCUGUUGUUGAGGAAGAUAAUGACGGUACUCAACAAGGAAGUGACGGCUAACUACGUGCCAGCAGCCGCGGUAAAACGUAGGUCACAAGCGUUGUCCGGAAUUACUGGGUGUAAAGGGAGCGCAGGCGGGAAGACAAGUUGGAAGUGAAAUCCAUGGGCUCAACCCAUGAACUGCUUCAAAA
rnacentral:rRNA from 1 species